UACAGAGGUGGCAAGCGUUGUUCGGAAUUACUGGGCGUAAAGGGCGCGUAGGCGGUUCGUUAAGUCCUGUGUGAAAUCCCCCGGCUCAACUGGGGAACUGCACAGGAAACUAGCGGGCUUGAGUUCGGGAGAGGGAAGCGGAAUUCCGGGUGUAGCGGUGAAAUGCGUAGAUAUCCGGAGGAACACCGGUGGCGAAGGCGGCUCCUGGACCGACACUGACGCUGAGGCGCG
rnacentral:rRNA from 1 species